GACCGCAGUAGCUCAGUUGGAAGAGCAUUGGGCUAGUAUUCCAAAGGUCGUAGGUUCGAUUCCCACCGUGGCCG